rnacentral:lncRNA from 1 species
UGUGCUUGUGGUAUGCGCAGGUACCCCUCCACAACACGAGACCAGCGCUGAAUCUCACGAAAACGAGAUCCCCUUAAAUGAAUAAGAUCAGAAAAAAGGACUACUUUCUACAGUUUCAAAUCAUUUAAAUUACAUAAUAGUAGGAAAUUUUCUUAAAGCCAGGUAGAUAAAUAUACAUCCUCGCGUGCGCUUCGGAGUGUCUCCGGUGCUGAGUGUCUCUGUGGUCUGUAAUUAUCGCGGAACGCAGGCCAGCCAAGGCUGGACACACUUUCCCCUCGGGGUCCUCGGUCUGGUACACCUGACUCCAGCCUGCUGUCUGAAGGUGGGACCCCAGGGGAGCGCCCCGGGCCCUGGGGGUGGGGAGAGGGGCCGCGGGAGGUGGGUGCGGUGCGGCAUUUCAGGCUCCGCUCUGCACUCCACAGCGGGUCGCUACGCCAGAGAGGGACAAAGGGUAUUCUGCUGGGGUAAAAGAGUGGGACGCGCGGGGAGAGGGAGGCAAUGCUGACUGAGACACGGGAUAAAAAUACAUGAAACCGUUUAGCCCAGAACUGCAUAAUUUCAGCUUUAUCAGCUUUGCUAAAAGUGAUAUUUAUAGUCCCCUUGCAACAUAAGGGAAAAUGAAAGCGGGCCCUGUUUCUGCCGCCCCCCUCCCGUCCCCACCUGAUGGACAGGCGUGGCCUUCGGACUGCCCGGAGCUCCCGCCACCCACCCGCCGGCGGGGCGCCUCCGAUCCAGCUCCCCGUUCCUUCCCCAGGCCCUUCUCCAGCCCCUGUUUGCGAGGAGAAGCCAAGCAGAGGGAUACUGCGCAGGAGCCCAGGAGUACUGAAUAUGCAGAGCUGAGUACGAGUGAGUUCCAAACGAAACCUCAGGUGCGACCUUGGGCAAACCAGUUCUGAGCUUCAUUCAGUUCCUUCACCUGUAGAACAGGUGUCAUGACAGCUGUCCAAUCCACAGAUCAUCACGGAUGUCAGCGCAGAGAGUGGGAAUGCGCUUUGUAAAUUUCAAAGCGAUAAACAGAAAUGGCCUGGAGCACCGUAACAAACAUAUAUACAUCUUACGUUUCACUAUUUACAAAACAGUGAGUUCAUAUGCCAGUUCGAAACAUUCUAGAUCCUUAGAUGCUUUCUCUUACAGUUUGUUUAGAACGGCAUCUUUCAAAUGGGCCUUUGCCUCACCCCCCUGCAUAAGCAUGUGCCCCAAAUAUAUGAUUUCAAAUCCUGAAUUUUAAAAAGCUCCUGUAAUACACACCAGACAAAUAGAUUGCCUUUUCCAUGCUUUUUCCCGGGGGCAAAUUUUAAGUUCUUGUCAUGUUUCAGUUCUAGCUGCAAUAUUCA